GGCCUGGUGGUGAAAAUUAUCAUACCUGCAGCCUAUAUGUGAACCCUAUCAGGGAAGCAGGAGUCCCCGGUUCGAAUCCGGGCCAGGUCA